CACAUUCCAGGGCGGCACAACUUGGAGUGAUUCAACGGGAUUUAUGUGACGGGCAGGGACUCACUGCCCUUCUGCAACUUUCAGGUAUGUCUUUGUAAAUAAUGCAGACCUUGCGCCAAGAAGACGCAGCGUUGCUCUGUGGCAGCUCGCUGGACUUUGGGGAAACAUUCUUUCAACCUUCAUUCUUCCCGCUGAUUGCUUUGGGGAGGAAGCUUCUCUCCUCUGAGUGCACACCAGCACGGCCUCCUGGCAACCCCAUCUCAUUGCAGCCAAGCAAUGGGCACACUGGGCUAUUGGGAAGGAGAUGGAGAUGCUCCUGCCGUGCCACUGCCAGCCUUGGGAUGCUCUGCUCAGCUCUGCUCCCACCAAGUAUGGGUCAUUCAUUGGCAGCUCGAGGCCAGAGGAUACACCUGCAGAUCUCAUCUGCUUUCUGACCUGUGCCUUCAGCUCCACCACAAGAUUUUUCUCUUGAAGUAUCUUUCCCCCCUUUCUCACUUCUGUCCUUUUUCUCCUCCUUUUCUCUCCCUGCCACCACUGCUUAAAGGCAGGACUUCCACUCAGCGCCGGAGCUGCAGUACCACUGAAUCCCUUUUUCUCCUUUUCAUCUGUAAGUGAGAUUGCUCAGAAAGGUGAAAAUCCCAGAGAGAAGGCGCGUUAGCAAAAAAGCACGCACUGAAAGCCCUGUGGGGAUGGCUGCAAACUGUUCCACCUCACCAGAGCCAUCCCCAGUGUGGAAACUUCACUCCUUCAUCUAAAUGUGAACUUUGAGGAUUAUAACGUCUCUCUGGUGACCCGCAUCUGUGAGAAUCCCAGAGUACUGAGCAAAUUGCACGCUCCCGAAUCACUCCAACCAUGACUGGGGUGACAACUGGAAACUGUCUGCCUUCCCAGGCCCACAUGAAAGAACAGCUUUGGAUGGGAAAAGGAUUAAAACCCUGGUUUGGUAGUGGUGGGUUCUGGGUUCUUUUGUGGGCUUUUUUGUUGUUGUUGUUGUUCUUUUUCCUGCUAUUGUUAGGAUACAGAAAAUAAAGUGCUGACAU
rnacentral:lncRNA from 1 species